CGAUCUUGCUGUCGAAGAGCAGCACCUUCUCGUGCAGAUUACUGGAUUUGUGCGGAGGCUCAUACAUCUCGCGAAUUCCUUGGAGUUUUUGUUCAUCACUCUACUUGGAGAAUAUAGGAAAAACAAACGAGACUUCUUCACGCUGGACGCAUACUAUGAUCCAGCCAUUGACG